rnacentral:rRNA from 1 species
GACGAACGCUGGCGGCGUGCCUAAUACAUGCAAGUAGAACGCACAGUUUAUACCGUAGCUUGCUACACCAUAGACUGUGAGUUGCGAACGGGUGAGUAACGCGUAGGUAACCUGCCUGGUAGCGGGGGAUAACUAUUGGAAACGAUAGCUAAUACCGCAUAAUAUUAAUUAUUGCAUGAUAAUUAAUUGAAAGGUGCAAUUGCACCACUACCAGAUGGACCUGCGUUGUAUUAGCUAGUAGGGGAGGUAACGGCUCACCUAGGCGGCGAUACAUAGCCGACCUGAGAGGGUGAUCGGCCACACUGGGACUGAGACACGGCCCAGACUCCUACGGGAGGCAGCAGUAGGGAAUCUUCGGCAAUGGACGAAAGUCUGACCGAGCAACGCCGCGUGAGUGAAGAAGGUUUUCGGAUCGUAAAGCUCUGUUGUAAGAGAAGAACGGGUGUGAGAGUGGAAAGUUCACACUGUGACGGUAUCUUACCAGAAAGGGACGGCUAACUACGUG